rnacentral:rRNA from 1 species
GAAUAUUGGUCAAUGGACGCAAGUCUGAACCAGCCAUGCCGCGUGCAGGAUGACGGCCCUAUGGGUUGUAAACUGCUUUUAUACGGGAAGAAACCCCUCUACGUGUAGAGGGCUGACGGUACCGUAAGAAUAAGGAUCGGCUAACUCCGUACCCGCAGCCGCGGUAAUACGGAGGAUCCAAGCGUUAUCCGGAUUUAUUGGGUUUAAAGGGUGCGUAGGCGGAUUAUUAAGUCAGUGGUGAAAGCCUGCAGCUUAACUGCAGAAUUGCCAUUGAUACUGGUAAUCUUGAGUACAUUUGAGGCGGGCGGAAUGUGUCAUGUAGCGGUGAAAUGCUUAGAUAUGACACAGAACACCGAUUGCGAAGGCAGCUCGCUAAACUGUAACUGACGCUGAGGCACGAAAGCGUGGGUAGCAAACAGG